GAGAACUAGUAGGAUCCUGUGAAGCCUGCAACUUGUUUUUAUCUGGAAAUUGGAAUAAACUAACCAAAGAGCUGCAUUUUGACUGUUUCGAUCCCUUUUUUGAACUGCGUAAGCCAGAAACCCCCGGCACAUCAGGACUGCAUCGUUGAUGGUGUUCGGCUGGCAGCGUUACCUGGGCGUGGGUGUUCGACGCCGCAGGGUUGCACCACAUUGGAUACACCAAGAUUUGAUUUGGGAGUGCUGAUUUAUGCAAUGCAGGUAGGCAAGUGGUUUAAUGUGUUUUAGGUUGAUUUGAUUAAAAUGAUUUAAUCUUUUUAACCUUUUUGAGGAAAUCCCUGCAAUCAAACGAUUUCUGUAACUGAGACUUCUGCUCCUCCCAGAUGGGCAUUCUUGCCCACUCCUCAAGGGCAAACUGCUCCAGUUGUUUCGGGCUUGACAGGUGCUUUCUCCAGAUGUUUCAGCUCCGUCCACGGGAUUCAGGGCUCAGAGUAAUCCAGUGUUUUGCUCUUACUUUUCCUGAAUGUUUUCAGUUGUCAUUAUCUUGUUGGAAGAGCCGCCGUAGAACAAAAUCCUGCUCUAAGCUGAAAUCAGUUCUCUACAGGUGGGAACUGAUCACAUGACUUCUGGUCGUUUUCUAAUUAGCUGCACUAGACUUUAUUCAGGUGUUUCAAAGCAAAAGGUAGUUGAAUAAAAACACACUCAUCACCUUCCCAUUCAUAAAAAAUAUAUAUAGAAAAACACAUUAUUUUCAUUCCACUUUACAAUCUUGAGCUCUUACGUGUUGUCUGUCAUAUAAAAUCAUAACAAAAAACAAUUUCUUUUAACGUCUCGAAAUGUGGAAAAAGUUCCGUCAGUUUUACUAUUGAGAUAAUAUUUGAU